CGGGACGUAACUCAGUCUGGCUAGAGUGCAUGCUUUGGGAGCAUGAGGUCGUAGGUUCAAAUCCUAUCGUCCCGACCA
rnacentral:tRNA from 1 species